rnacentral:rRNA from 1 species
UGGAUUAAUACUCUAGGAUAGUGGACGUUACUCGCAGAAUAAGCACCGGCUAACUCUGUGCCAGCAGCCGCGGUAAUACAGAGGGUGCGAGCGUUAAUCGGAUUUACUGGGCGUAAAGCGUGCGUAGGCGGCUUUUUAAGUCGGAUGUGAAAUCCCUGAGCUUAACUUAGGAAUUGCAUUCGAUACUGGGAAGCUAGAGUAUGGGAGAGGAUGGUAGAAUUCCAGGUGUAGCGGUGUAAUGCGUAGAGAUCUGGAGGAAUACCGAUGGCGAAGGCAGCCAUCUGGCCUAAUACUGACGCUGAGGUACGAAAGCAUGGGGAGCAAACAGGAUUAGAUACCCUGGUAGUCCAUGCCGUAAACGAUGUCUACUAGCCGUUGGGGCCUUUGAGGCUUUAGUGGCGCAGCUAACGCGAUAAGUAGACC